AGAGUUUGAUCCUGGCUCAGGACGAACGCUGGCGGCGUGCCUAACACAUGCAAGUCGAACGAGAAUCUUUGAACAGAUCUUUUCGGAGUGACGUUUAAAGAGGAAAGUGGCGGACGGGCGAGUAACGCGUGAGUAACCUGCCCAUAAGAGGGGGAUAAUCCAUGGAAACGUGGACUAAUACCGCAUAUUGUAGUCAAGUCGCAUGACUAGAUUAUGAAAGAUUUAUCGCUUAUGGAUGGACUCGCGUCAGAUUAGAUAGUUGGUGAGGUAACGGCUCACCAAGUCAACGAUCUGUAGCCGAACUGAGAGGUUGAUCGGCCGCAUUGGGACUGAGACACGGCCCAGACUCCUACGGGAGGCAGCAGUGGGGAAUAUUGCGCAAUGGGGGCAACCCUGACGCAGCAACGCCGCGUGCAGGAAGAAGGUCUUCGGAUUGUAAACUGUUGUCGCAAGGGAAGAAGACAGUGACGGUACCUUGUGAGAAAGUCACGGCUAACUACGUGCCAGCAGCCGCGGUAAUACGUAGGUGACAAGCGUUGUCCGGAUUUACUGGGUGUAAAGGGCGCGUAGGCGGACUGUCAAGUCAGUCGUGAAAUACCGGGGCUUAACCCCGGGGCUGCGAUUGAAACUGACAGCCUUGAGUAUCGGAGAGGAAAGCGGAAUUCCUAGUGUAGCGGUGAAAUGCGUAGAUAUUAGGAGGAACACCAGUGGCGAAGGCGGCUUUCUGGACGACAACUGACGCUGAGGCGCGAAAGUGUGGGGAGCAAACAGGAUUAGAUACCCUGGUAGUCCACACCGUAAACGAUGGAUACUAGGUGUAGGAGGUAUCGACCCCUUCUGUGCCGCAGUUAACACAAUAAAUAUCCCACCUGGGGAGUACGACCGCAAGGUUGAAACUCAAAGGAAUUGACGGGGGCCCGCACAAGCGGAGGAACAUGUGGUUUAAUUCGAUGAUACGCGAGGAACCUUACCCGGGCUUGAACUGUAGGCGAACGAUUCAGAGAUGAAGAGGCCCUUCGGGGCGCCUAUGGAGGUGCUGCAUGGUUGUCGUCAGCUCGUGCCGUGAGGUGUCGGCUUAAGUGCCAUAACGAGCGCAACCCUUGUUCGUAGUUGCCAUCGGUUAAAGCCGGGCACUCUGCGAAGACUGCCUCCGUAAGGAGUGAGGAAGGUGGGGAUGACGUCAAAUCAGCACGGCCCUUACGUCCGGGGCUACACACGUGUUACAAUGGCAUGUACAGAAAGCUGGGUGUAUGCAAAUACGCUCGAAUCCCUAAAACAUGUCUCAGUUCGGACUGGGGUCUGCAACCCGACCCCACGAAGCUGGAUUCGCUAGUAAUCGCGCAUCAGCCAUGGCGCGGUGAAUACGUUCCCGGGCCUUGUACACACCGCCCGUCAAGCCAUGAAAGCCGGGGGCGCCUAAAGUCCGUGACCGCGAGGGUCGGCCUAGGGUGAAACCGGUGAUUGGGGCUAAGUCGUAACAAGGUA
rnacentral:rRNA from 1 species